GACGAACGCUGGCGGCGUGCCUAAUACAUGCAAGUCGAACGCAGUGGGGACGGGUGAGUAACACGUGGGUAACCUCCCAUCAGAGGGGAUAACACUUGGAAACAGGUGCUAAACCGAUACUGAUGGAUGGACCCGCGGUGCAUGAGCUAGUUGGUGGGGUAACGGCUCACCAAGGCCAAGAUGCAUAGCCGUCUGGAGAGUGGGAUCGGCCACACUGGGACGGAGACACGGCCCAGACUCCUCCGGGAGGCAGCAGGUGGGAAUCGUCGGCAAUGGCCGAAAGUCUGACCGAGCAACGCCUCGUGCGUGAAGAAGGUUUGCGGAUCGUAAAACUCUGUUGUUAGAGAAGCGGUAUCUAACCAGAAAGCCACGGCUAACUACGUGCCAGCAGCCGCGGUAAUUC
rnacentral:rRNA from 1 species